GACGAACGCUGGCGGCGUGCUUAACACAUGCAAGUCGAACGAUGAAACCGGAGCUUGCUCUGGUGAAUUAGUGGCGAACGGGUGAGUAACACGUGAGUAACCUGCCCUUGACUCUGGGAUAACUGCGGGAAACUGUAGCUAAUACCGGAUACGACCCUCGGAGGCAUCUCCUGGGGGUGGAAAGAAUUUCGGUCAAGGAUGGACUCGCAGCCUAUCAGCUAGUUGGUGAGGUAAAGGCUCACCAAGGCGACGACGGGUAGCCGGCCUGAGAGGGUGACCGGCCACACUGGGACUGAGACACGGCCCAGACUCCUACGGGAGGCAGCAGUGGGGAAUAUUGCACAAUGGGCGCAAGCCUGAUGCAGCAACGCCGCGUGAGGGAUGACGGCCUUCGGGUUGUAAACCUCUUUUAGCAGGGAAGAAGCGAAAGUGACGGUACCUGCAGAAAAAGCACCGGCUAACUACGUGCCAGCAGCCGCAGUAA
rnacentral:rRNA from 1 species